UUCCGGUUGAUCCUGCCGGAGGCUACCGCUAUCGGAGUCCGAUUUAGCCAUGCUAGUCUACCGGCCUUUGGCCGGGGCAGAUAGCUGAGUAACACGUGACUAACCUGCCCUGUGGACGGAGAUAACCUCGCUAACGUGAGGCUAAUACCCAAUAGCAGAUGGUUGCUGGAAAGCGCCGUCUGUGAAAUGUUCCGACGCCACAGGAUGGAGUCGCGGCUGAUUAGGUAGUUGGUGAGGUAACGGCUCACCAAGCCGAUAAUCAGUAGCAGCCGUGAGAGCGGGAGCUGCCAGUCGGCUUCUGAGACAAGAAGCCGGGCCCUACGGGGCGCAGCAGGCACGAAACCUUCACAAUGCACGAGAGUGCGAUGGGGGGACUCCGAGUGCAAUCUUCCCACAAGGAAGGUUGCUUUUCUGCACUGUAAGGAGGUGCCGGAACAAGGGGUGGGCAACACUGCUGCCAGCCGCCGCGGUAAUAGCAGGACCCCAAGUGGUAGUCGUUAUUAUUGGGCUUAAAGUGUUCGUAGCCUGCCAUGUAAGUCCGCUGUGAAAUCCACAUGCUCAACAUGUGGGCGUGCAGCGGAUACUGCAUGGCUAGGGACCGGACGGCGUCGAGGCUAUUCUCUGGGUAGGAGUGAAAUCCUAAAAUCCAGAGAGGAGCACCUGUGGCGAAAGCGCUCGGCGAGUACGGAUCCGACGGUGGGGAACGAAAGCCAGGGGAGCAAAGCGGAUUAGAUACCCGCGUAGUCCUGGCCGUUAACAAUGUGCGUUUGAUGUCGGACAACCUCCGAGGUUGUCCGGUGCCGA
rnacentral:rRNA from 1 species